UNAAGGAGACGCGCGNUACGUAGCAGAUCUUCCCGGGGUGAUUCGUCAACAACGCGCAUGCAUGGACGCAUGGGCGAGGUGUUAUGCGCCAUGGACGGCGCAUAAAAGCCGGUUGUGUCAAAAAGCCACAACCGGCAUAUGCAAUUCGUACAGACACUUAGCAGCGUAGUCC
rnacentral:ncRNA from 1 species